AACGCGAAGAACCUUACCUACCUUUGAAUCCACGGAAUCUUGCAGAGAUGUGAGAGUGCCUUCGGGAACCGUGAGACAGGUGCUGCAUGGCUGUCGUCAGCUCGUGUCGUGAGAUGUUGGGUUAAGUCCCGUAACGAGCGCAACCCUUAUCCUUAGUUACCAGCGAGUAAAGUCGGGGACUUUAAGGAGACUGCCGGUGAUAAACCGGAGGAAGGUGGGGAUGACGUCAAGUCCUCAUGGCCCUUACAGGUAGGGCUACACACGUGCUACAAUGGCCGGUACAAAGGGAAGCCAACCCGCGAGGGGGAGCUAACCUCAAAAAGCCGGUCGUAGUCCGGAUUGGAGUCUGCAACUCGACUCCAUGAAGUUGGAAUCGCUAGUAAUCGUGGAUCAGCACGCCACGGUGAAUACGUUCCCGGGCCUUGUACACACCGCACGA
rnacentral:rRNA from 1 species